AAAGCCUACAGGGGGAGCCAAUGGCUGAGAGUGAACAGUGAUGUUCUUACCCUUUGAACCUGUUAGUUAGUACUAACGUAGGGAUGGUGGCUUUUUUGAUG
rnacentral:ncRNA from 1 species